rnacentral:lncRNA from 1 species
CCCAGAUCUUAACGACUAAUAGACUACUGUUGACCAAAAGCCUUACUGAUAACAUAAACAGCCAAUAAACACAUAUUUUGUAAGUUGUAUAUAUUAUAUACUGUAUUCUUACAAUAAAGUAAGCUAGAGAAAAGAAGAUGUUUAUAAGAAAAUCAUAAAGAAGAGAAAAUAUAUUUACUAUUCAUUGAGUAGAAGUGGAUCAUCAUAAAGGUCUUCAUCCUUGUCAUCUUCUAACUGAGUAGGCUGAGGAAGAGAAGGAAAGGAGGGGUUGGUCUUGCUGUCUGAGGGGUGGUCGAGGCAGAAGAAAAUAUAUAUAUAAAUAAAUCUGCACAGUUCAAAUCCAUGUGGUUCAAGGGUCAACUGUGUAUGCAUCUAUGUAGAUGAGAUAAUCAUCAAAGUCUAGUUUUAAAAUGAAAAAUUACAUCAUUCUUUUAGAAAACUCCUGGAACCUUGAGGAACACUGCUUUAGGCAUACCCUGGUCUAGAAUGCCACCUGUCUAUACAGUUCUCCCUCAGUAUCUGAAGUGGAUCAGCUCCAGGACCCCCACAGAUGCCAAAUUCCACAGAUGCUCAAGUCCCUUACAUAAAAUGGCAUAGUAUUUGCAUAUAACCUACACAUAUCUUCUUGUAUACUUCAAAUAAUCUCUAGAUUACUUAUAAUCCCUAAUAGAAUGUAAAUGCUAUGCAAAUAGUUGUUAUACUGCAUUAUUUUUAGUUGUACCUUUUUCUAUUGUUGUAUUGCUAUUUAAAUGUUUUCAAAUAUUUUCCAAUUUUCCAAGAUUGGCUGAAUCUGCACAUGUGGAAACAGCACAGGCAAAGGCUGACAGUAUGCAGCUUUAUUUCUCUUUCUGUCAUGCCCAUGCAUUCAGUCAAAAAUUAAAAUUAUUUCUCUUUACCUCUCCACUUGCAUAUUCAACCAUUAUACAUAGUUGUUCAUCUAUUUUAGAACAACCAGCCACAUUUAUUGCAUGCCUAUCAUACCUACAUCUUGAUUUCACAAGAACACUGCAAAAUAGUAUUAUUAAUAUUAAUAUGUUAUGGUUUACAUUUUAAAAAUGAGAAAUCUGGAGAUCAGCGUGUUCAGGGGACUUGCCCAAGAACACGCUCAUGUCAAAGGCUGGGCUUUGACUCAAUUCUGUCUGAUCUUAGAUCCCAUAAUUGUGCCCUUUGCUAUAGCCCCAAGGUACUGAAAGGUGCAUCGCACAUAGUGGGUGCUCAAUAAACAUUUUUUGAAUGAAUAUGAGAACAAUGAACUGUUUCCAUUCCAUCAGUCUGCCUGUACUCCCAGCCUGUUGGCACUGUUUCCUCUCUAGGCAUGCAAAGCCUAGGGGAGUACAAACUAAGGUUUGACUCACCCUGGUAUCCCACAGCAUGCCUGGCCACAUAGUAGGUUCUCAAAUACUCAUUAAUUUGAAUUGACUUGAACUCCUCCCAAGACCCCGCUUGGAAACUUUUUUGAAGGUUAAUUUAGAAUGAGAAAAGAGAACUUGAGGAAGAGAGUGUGCUAGUGAUGAUACAAGCCCCCAGCUAGCCUUGGUAACUGGAAUGGGAAGCAUUGGCCACCUCCUCCUGAGACUGGGCUCCAAGCCCUGCUUGGUAAUGCAGGCAAAAGCAUGUGAUUCAGACAGCAGCAAAGCCACAGAACGGCACGCCAAGUUCAAAGUCAUUGAAGCAAGUAGUGUAAGUGACAAAAUUUAAAAGACAGAGACCUCUGUAGAAGAAGCCAGGGUACCCAGAAUUGACAGCAUUGAAAGCUGGGCUUAGGUGGAAAUGACAAGAAUCUCUGCCCUACCCCUAGCAGGAGGUCCUCGGCACAGCCCCGGAAUCUUCCAGCCCUUUCGCCAAACAGAUUCUUCACCAUGUGGUCUCAGUUUCCCUGCCCGAAAAAGUCAAGAUAUGUUUCUCAAUCUUGUAGCAACAGCUGCUCCCACCCCAAGGAUUCCCCUACUCAAACCCGAGUGAAGAAUGAAGCUGGUUUCUGUUUUAGGAACCAAACAAAGUCCUGCCCCUCCUCAGGGGCCCCCCUUUGGACUGGCUCCCUUCCCUCUGUUUGGAUAGCCCACUCUUUCCAAACCACUGAGUCAUUUCCUCUCCGGGACUUUCUCAUUAAAAUCUUCCUGUUUGCUAUAGUUCUGGAGCCCCUCUCUGAGUUACCGUUUCCUUCCUCAUCCCCACUGAGCUGAUUAAUUAAUAGCCCAGCACCGCCCUGCAAUCUCUCCCACUGCGGC